UACGAAGGGGGCUAGCGUUGCUCGGAAUUACUGGGCGUAAAGGGCGCGUAGGCGGCGUGGUAAGUCAGCUGUGAAAUCUCCGAGCUUAACUCGGAACGGUCAGCUGAUACUGCUGUGCUAGAGUGCAGAAGGGGCAAUCGGAAUUCUUGGUGUAGCGGUGAAAUGCGUAGAUAUCAAGAGGAACACCUGAGGUGAAGACGGGUUGCUGGGCUGACACUGACGCUGAGGCGCGAAAGCUAGGGUAGCAAACGGG
rnacentral:rRNA from 1 species